rnacentral:lncRNA from 1 species
CACUGAGAGUGGUUCUUGACUGGACUUAUGGCAUUACUCACAGCCAGUUGGAAACCAUUCUAGCUUUGAGCAUCAUCUCCGUGCUGCUGCUUCUGCUUGUUAUGCUCACUUUAGGCUUACUUUUAUACAUCGUUUACCGUUGUCACACACACGCUAUCCACACAACGACAACGACGGCAACUCACACAAAAACUGUGACAACCACCAUUGAAACUCCGCCGGCCAGAGCGUAAAACCAUCAUGGCCUCCAACAACAGUAAAAAGCAUAUUCUGAUGCUUUACUUAAAUUUUCAUUAACACACACACACACACACACACACACACACAUAUAUACUUAUAUGUAUAUACGU